rnacentral:lncRNA from 10 species
CAAAAACACAAUAGAAGUCCAUUAUCCCUUGAUAAUUAUUUCUUAAAAGCAAAUGGGAGUAAGUGUUCUUAUCUGGAAAAAUAAAUAAAUAAAAUGCUCAAAGGGUAUCACCACUUCAAUUUUAUCAAGCCACCUUGGACAAAGUAUCCAAAUUGUGGUUGCCUUAAUAAACUAAAACAUUAUUGUACAUAAUGUAAUUAUAAAUCUAUCAGUCUGCAUGGAUGCAAACUGUGUGUGACAAAUCGUCUUUUAAAUGGUCAAUUUCAGCUGUACAUUUCUCAUCCAAGUUGUACUCUAGCCAUUGGUUUAGCGUGGACAGAUACUCCAUCUCUAUUAUCCAUUUCCACAGCCCAAAUAAAAUAUGUUAAGCAGGCUCAGAAUGAAUAUGAAGAAUUCCAUUUCCGUAGAUGUUUUCUAAAAGUCAGAUUGUGGAAAUUUCAAAUAAGUAUUUUCAAUUUCCUCCCUCACUCCCUCUUACCUUCCCCAAGACAUCAAACACCUGGCAUGGUAGAUUAUAGAAAGAGACACUGAGAGAGAGAAUUAAAUUUUCUAAUGGGAAUUAGAAUAUCUGGUUUACCUCCAAAUUAAGUUUCUUUACAGGAAGUUGGGACCAGCUGGAAAUUGUAUUAUCAUUUCGGAACACAAUAUUACUUCCUUAGAGAGAGAUGGAUUUUUGUUGGCAACAUAAAAGAAUAAGUGAUGGGGUAUCUAUGUGAGUAAAUUUUUAAAUUCCAAGUUAAUAUGCUUGCAAACAUUACUGCUGCGUUAUGGCACCAAGAGUUGGUUGAAAUUACCCACGUAGUCAUACUCCUGUGCUCUGUCACCAUGGACUUCACAUCAUUUGCUGCCCACUAGUUCAAUCGCAUUUAAUCCUAGCAAUAUGUAAGUUUAAAGGACUGCAUUCCCCUCUACUUUAAAGCUUAUAUCCUAGAUACUCAGUUUGUGACCUUGGUUGACCUUUGGCAUUUCACGCAAGUUGAACAGCAAAAUCAAAGCAGCCAUUUUUAAUUCGUCAUUCCCAAGCCCUAUCUGAGUGGUUCCAAAGUCACCUGAGAGGAAGGUUUAAAUUAGUCCCUCUCACCCCACCAUUGCUAUAAAACAGCAACGUUUUCAUUCCAAUUCAGCCAUAAAGAGGUUUCUCUUCUUACUGGGUUUUGAAAUCAUUUCCUUUUUUCUUUCGUUUGCCCUUCUUCCUUCCUGUGUUGUACUAUCUCUCCAACCACGUCUAUAAGCAGACUCAAUCUUCUUGCAGAGGAAGAUGAGCUGGCACUCUGCAAACUUCUUUAAUAAGGACCCAAAGUUUACUUGACAUUAACCUCUAGUAGGUGAGAAAUUCCAAAAAAGCUUUGGGGUACAUUAGAAUUUCCAAAGCUCUGAAAGAUAUUUCAGGAGAUUUAACAGCAGAGUUGCAACUUACACGUGAAUUCUGGUCUAUAGUGGUCAUGUGAGUUAAAUUCGAAUCCUCUACUUGUAUGACCCUAGGAAUAGAUUGGAAUACUGCAGAGGACCAAAGCUGAGGCAUGCUAAACAGCUGCUUGGAGGUGGAAGCAAGUUCAGUCACCUACUCAGCUUCCUCUCUCCACCACCCAGUUCCUCCCUCAGUAUCACAUUAUUUUUUUCUUCUGCUUUUCAUUAACCUAACUCAUCUCAUCAGUACAACCAUUUUCUUAUUCUCUAACUACCCCCAAUUCCUUUAGCCUCUCCCCACCUGUCCAAACUCAGCUCAGCCGUGGGCCAAUGCAGCUUACAGACGGUUGCAGAGCUAGGAAGAAAACCCAGCUCUCCCAACCCUGAUCGUGGAGGUCUCUGGCCCCCCAACACUGCCUUCUGGGGGCUGCAUUUUUUUUUUUUUUUUGAGAAGAGGUCUUUUGGGAUGCAUGGUGCUCCACAUACAGCUUCACAAAAUAUUUCAUUAUAAGAGAAACCCCUUGAUUUUUAUUUCUUUUUCUUUUGUUUUCUGGAUUACCUGCCUUCAGUAAGCAGAUGCAGACCCACUUGUAAGGAGUCUGGUUAGUGAUGAGAAAAGGAUGAAAUCUAGAUACAAAAGUCACCUUGAAGGUGAUGAUGGAUCUUUAAUCCACUUGACUAAGUGUCUGGAAGAGCUACUUGCUCUUCCACCCCUCAUCUCAAAUGAGAGGAGCAGAAGUUUAACUUCCUCAAAUAGCCCAGCUCUGGCUAAAACCCAAAGAAGAAAGGUCAAAGGAAGGGAAAGCAUGUCAGGGGCUGGUUUGUGACUUGGCAGGACCAGGAAACAGCAGCCACUGACAGCCCAGAGAAGGUGACUAAGGGCUGGCAGAAGAUUAGAAUGUUAAUUUGGCUGCUGUCCGGACUAGGAGGCCAUGUUCAAUGGCAGUCAGAAUUUGUGUUCUGCGCAUUGCUGGGUCUAUAAAUAUGAUAAGCAAGUGGUGACAGAAUUAUAGUAUAAGGUGAUGUACUACAUGCAGAUCAUAAAGGCUUUGGUUUUAAGACUUAAGUAGAAAAUCCCUCUCCUAGCUUAUUACCCAACAAUAUUCAGAUAAUGAGCUUUUGGAGAAUAUCUUUUUCCUAUCACUAGAAAGAUUUACCUGGGAACUGUCUAAAGUCUACACACAUAUUUCCAAAGCCUUUAAAUACCAACUGCAGCAUGGAGAGAGAGGGGUGGCAGAAGCUGAAAUGCCUCAAAAGCCAUUUAAGUGUUACGUUGCAGGAUUUUCAGUCCUUCUCGUUAUGUAAAAGUAGAUAAAUAUAGACGUUAUUCUCAACACUACCCUAUAGUAUCACAGUGGUCCAAAUGCCAGAGCUUACAGAUAAUGUCAUCACAGUGCCUAGAAACUCGAACUGUAAUAUAUCGUAGCAUUUUCUUGGUGUUUCUUAAAGUUUCUUUCCACAAUACAAGGUCCUCUCUGCCUCUUGUUUCUUGGAGAGUUCACCCCACUGAUGAGUCUUCCUUCCCUGUUGGACUCAGUCAUUUGGGGAACAGUCUUAGAAGCACAUAUCAACCAAGGAAGAAACUUCCUGGAUAUCUAUUGCCCACUUGCCCAGGUCUAAUAAACACUAAAGGGGGGAAAUUGAAAGGAGCUGCCAACUGGUCAACGUGGAAGGGCGGUUCCACCCUAGAUUGGUGUCUUUCUUUUUCUUCCUUUUUUUAAAAAAAAUCUAUUUCUUAAAUAAUAAUAAAUGCACAUGAUGUGUUAAAUAUGUACAUAUAUAUUUCAAAAGAAAAAAUGGGGCACAAGAUUGUCUUACAAGUCGUGCUGGCUAAUUUUUAGUUUGUAUUCAUAAGUGGUUUUUAAAAGCCUUUUUUAAAGUGUAAUUUGCAUGUUCUACUUUGAUUGUAUGUAAACAUAUUUUAGAACAAAAAAUGUAUUUGUAUUUUAUUGAAUAUAGAGGCAAGAAAAUUGUACAUUGUUUGAAAUGUUCUUUUUGUAACAGUUUUUAUUCAUAAAGCAUUUUUGUACAUUUAAAAUGAACAUGGACUUGCUGUUAUUUGAGGCGUAGAUACAUCUAGCAUGCUUACUGUCAUGCUCCUCCAUGGUCUUAGAUGUUGGGUUUUAAACAUUUUUUUCUAAAAGAAAGCUCAGUCUUUUCCGCUACCAGAUCAGGUUAGCACAGUAUAGAGCACUUAACUAUUAAAAAAAAAAAGUUAAUCCUAUUCAUAUGUUAUUCAUUGUGUGAAAUUAAAGACAUUCAAUUCAGUCUAA